rnacentral:lncRNA from 1 species
GCCCUCCCCCGCUCCUUCCCGACCCGCCCGCAGCGAUCGCAGACUCUAGGGGAGGGAGCGAUGUUCUCUCCUACCGUUCCAGCGCCUCCGAAGGUAGAAAUUCAUGAAAAGGACUCUGGCAGUUACUCUAGAGUACAGGUUCCUGAUCAACUUUCAGAUUGUAAAACUGAACUGGGUAAGAAAUUAAAGAAUUCUAAUGGAGAAACUGACGAUCUCAUAAAACUGCCAGCAGAAGAUUAAGAUCAAGAAUUGAUUACACAGGACUGAAUGAACUGAUGAGAAUGAUUAUAACUUUUUAUGACUUUUGUUUGAAAUAUUGGUGAUUUUUGAUGUGUUGUUUUGUUUUCUUAAAUUUAAGAAAAACUUUGCCUCUUUUCUCUUGUGCUAACUACUUUUAACAAUUUGGUGAAAUUAUACCUUGGUGAGCAGAACUGAAACAUCUCUCUUUUUCUCCCUACCUGAUCCCUCCCCUCCAGAAUUUGGAAACUCUUUGUGGGUGAGUAUGGUUAUUUCGUGGCAAUACAGUUAUUUGCGUAAGUUCAUUGAGAAUCUGUUCUCCUUAUAACAGGACACAGUUGGAAACAUUAGUUGUAUUACAAAGGCUUUGACUGGAAUGUCAUAUCUGAGAGAAACAUACAGGCUCAGAGAUGACAAGACAGCUUCUCAGGAACAAAGAUUGAGCUUUAUGGAAUAAAGCCCCUUGGAAAUAUUGGCUUGGUAUCUUGUUCACAGAGAUUCCAGCAAUCUUACCUGUUUCACCUCCUGGACCACUUCUCAUCAAAUGAUUCUCGUCUCCAGAGGAUCUGUAUACCUUGUCAGCCUUGGACUCCAUGGGUGCAACCUUCCGGUGCACUGAACUUCCUGCCUAUACCCCUAUGGCCCAAUUUAGGGACAGCUCUACGACCUUGUACAGAUGAAAGUAGUUACAGAAGAUUGACCAUCGUCCAUAUCCCCAAAAGAUUUUGGGGCCAAAUAGGUUCGGGGGGGUGGUUUAUGAUGAGAAUCAAGGCUGCCCCAGGGAGAGAAGCACAAGGUGUCCUGCCCCACAUACUGAUCUAUAUCAUCCUCUGGGAAGCAUAGGACGUCCUGACCUGAUCUGAUCUGAUUCUCGUGUAAAGUUAUAGGACCACCCAAUAACCAGACCCCACCUACACUGAUACCAUUUUAACAAGUUUUUUACAUAAUCUUUCCUUUGUCUUGUGAAGAAAUAAUUCACAUACCUAUGCCUCAGAUUUAGCCCUGCCCUCAACCCAUUGCAGCUCUCACUGCCCAUGGGUCCUGUCCCCAUGCUGCAGCUCUUCACUACCCACCGCUCCUGUCCCCAUGCUAUUCUCUGAAUAAAGGAGCACUACUACCAGA